rnacentral:misc_RNA from 1 species
AAGUCGUAACAAGGUUUCCGUAGGUGAACCUGCGGAAGGAUCAUUAUCGAAUUCAGGAAAGACUGUUGCUGGCAGAAAUGCAUGUGCACGUCCUACCUUGCCCCUUUACACACCUGUGCACCUUUUGUAGGUCCUCGGAAAGAGGAUCUAUGUUUUACUAUCAUCACAUCCAAUGUAUGUCUAGAAUGUGAAUCAACUAUCGAUCUUCACGGGUCGAUAAAUGAUAAAUAAAUAUACAACUUUCAGCAACGGAUCUCUUGGCUCUC